GAUAAACGCUGGCGGCGUGCAUAACACAUGCAAGUCGAACGAAGUGGCGAACGGGUGAGUAACACGUGAGUAACCUGCCUUACACAAGGGGAUCGCCUUUGGAAACGAAGAAUAAUACCCUAUAGUUUAAGGUGGACUUGCGUCUGAUUAGCUAGUUGGUGGGAUAAAAGCCCACCAAGGCGACGAUCAGUAGCCGGCUUGAGGGAGUGGACGGGAACAUUGGGACUGAGACACGGCCCAAACUCUACGGGAGGCAGCAGUGGGGAACUUUGCACAAUGCGGGAAACCCUGAUGCAUCGAGGCCGCGUGAUUUAGAAGGCCGUCGGGUUGAAAAAAUCUUUUUAAUGGGCUGCAGUACCAUAAGAAUAAGGUCCGGCUAAAUACGUGCCAGCAGCCGCGGUAAUAC
rnacentral:rRNA from 1 species